rnacentral:rRNA from 1 species
GGUUAAGUGACUAAGCGUACACGGUGGAUGCCUUGGCAGUCAGAGGCGAUGAAAGACGUAGUAACUUGCGAUAAGCCCAGAUUAGGUAGUAACAACCAUUUGAGUCUGGGAUUUCUGAAUGGGGAAACCCACGUGCAUAAGCACGUAUCCUUACCUGAAUACAUAGGGUAAGGAGGCGAACCGGGGGAACUGAAACAUCUAAGUACCCCGAGGAAAAGAAAUCAACCGAGAUUCCGAAAGUAGCGGCGAGCGAAAUUGGACUAGCCCUUAAGCUUUACACGCGUUAGACGAACGGUCUGGAAAGUCCGACGAUACAGGGUGAUAGUCCCGUAGUUGACGACGUGUGUUCAGUGAAAUCGAGUAGGGCGGGACACGUGAUAUCCUGUCUGAAUAUGGGGGGACCAUCCUCCAAGGCUAAAUACUACUGACUGACCGAUAGUGAACCAGUACCGUGAGGGAAAGGCGAAAAGAACCCCUGUGAGGGGAGUGAAAUAGAACCUGAAACCGUGUACGUACAAGCAGUAGGAGCAGGCUUGUCCUGUGACUGCGUACCUUUUGUAUAAUGGGUCAGCGACUUAUAUUCAGUGGCAAGGUUAACCAUCUAGGGGAGCCGUAGGGAAACCGAGUCUUAACUGGGCGUUCAGUCUCUGGAUAUAGACCCGAAACCAGGUGAUCUAGCCAUGGGCAGGUUGAAGGUUGAGUAACAUCAACUGGAGGACCGAACCGACUAAUGUUGAAAAAUUAGCGGAUGACUUGUGGCUAGGGGUGAAAGGCCAAUCAAACCUGGAGAUAGCUGGUUCUCCCCGAAAGCUAUUUAGGUAGCGCCUCGGACGAAUACUACUGGGGGUAGAGCACUGUUAAGGCUAGGGGGUCAUCCCGACUUACCAACCCUUUGCAAACUCCGAAUACCAGUAAGUACUAUCCGGGAGACACACGGCGGGUGCUAACGUCCGUCGUGGAGAGGGAAACAACCCAGACCGCCAGCUAAGGUCCCAAAUUACUACUAAGUGGGAAACGAUGUGGGAAGGCUCAGACAGCCAGGAUGUUGGCUUAGAAGCAGCCAUCAUUUAAAGAAAGCGUAAUAGCUCACUGGUCGAGUCGGCCUGCGCGGAAGAUGUAACGGGGCUAAGUAGUAAACCGAAGCUGCGGCAAUAUACUUUUGUAUAUUGGGUAGGGGAGCGUUCUGUAAGCGGUUGAAGGUGUGUGGUAACGCAUGCUGGACGUAUCAGAAGUGCGAAUGCUGACAUGAGUAACGAUAAAGGGGGUGAAAAACCUCCUCGCCGGAAGACCAAGGGUUCCUGUCCAACGUUAAUCGGGGCAGGGUAAGUCGACCCCUAAGGCGAGGCCGAAAGGCGUAGUCGAUGGGAAACGGGUUAAUAUUCCCGUACUUCUUACAAUUGCGAUGGGGGGACGGAGAAGGCUAGGUGGGCCUGGCGACGGUUGUCCAGGUUCAAGUGCGUAGGCUUAAGAGUUAGGUAAAUCCGGCUCUUUCUAAG